rnacentral:rRNA from 1 species
GACGAACGCUGGCGGCAGGCCUAACACAUGCAAGUCGAACGAGAUCUUCGGAUCUAGUGGCGGACGGGUGAGUAACGCGUGGGAACGUGCCCUUCUCUACGGAAUAGUCCUGGGAAACUGGGUUUAAUACCGUAUACGCCCUUCGGGGGAAAGAAUUUCGGGGAAGGAUCGGCCCGCGUUGGAUUAGGUAGUUGGUGGGGUAAUGGCCUACCAAGCCGACGAUCCAUAGCUGGUUUGAGAGGAUGAUCAGCCACACUGGGACUGAGACACGGCCCAGACUCCUACGGGAGGCAGCAGUGGGGAAUCUUAGACAAUGGGGAACCUGAUCAGCAUGCCGCGUGAGUGAGAAGCCCUAGGGUCGUAAAGCUCUUUCGCCAGGGAUGAUAAUG